rnacentral:rRNA from 1 species
GAUGAACGCUGGCGGCGUGCCUAAUACAUGCAAGUCGAGCGAAUGGAUUAAGAGCUUGCUCUUAUGAAGUUAGCGGCGGACGGGUGAGUAACACGUGGGUAACCUGCCCAUAAGACUGGGAUAACUCCGGGAAACCGGGGCUAAUACCGGAUAACAUUUUGAACCGCAUGGUUCGAAAUUGAAAGGCGGCUUCGGCUGUCACUUAUGGAUGGACCCGCGUCGCAUUAGCUAGUUGGUGAGGUAACGGCUCACCAAGGCAACGAUGCGCAGCAGACCUGAGAGGGUGAUCGGCCACACUUGGACUGAGACACGGCCCAGGCUCCGACGGGAGGCAGCAGUAGGGAAUCUUCCGCAAUGGACGAAAGUCUGACGGAGCAACGCCUCGUGAGUGAUGAGGGCUUUCGGGUCGUAAAACGCUGUUGUUAGGGAAGAACAAGUGCUAGUUGAAUAAGCUGGCACCUUGACGGUACCUAACCAGAAAGCCACGGCUAACUACGUGCCAGCCGCCGCAGUAA